rnacentral:rRNA from 1 species
AUUGAACGCUGGCGGCAGGCCUAACACAUGCAAGUCGAGCGGAUGAAGGGAGCUUGCUCCUGGCUUCAGCGGCGGACGGGUGAGUAAUGCCUAGGAAUCUGCCUGGUAGAGGGGGAUAACGUCCGGAAACGGGCGCUAAUACCGCAUACGUCCUGAGGGAGAAAGUGGGGGAUCUUCGGACCUCACGCUAUCAGCUGAGCCUAGGUCGGAUUAGCUAGUUGGUGGGGUAAAGGCCUACCAAGGCGACGAUCCGUAACUGGUCUGAGAGGAUGAUCAGUCACACUGGAACUGAGACACGGUCCAGACUCCUACGGGAGGCAGCAGUGGGGAAUAUUGGACAAUGGGCGAAAGCCUGAUGCAGCCAUGCCGCGUGUGUGAAGAAGGUCUUCGGAUUGUAAAGCACUUUUAGUUGGGAGGAAGGGCAGUAAGUGAAUCCCUUGCUGUUUUGACGUUACCAACAGAAUAAGCACCGGCUAACUUCGUG